rnacentral:lncRNA from 1 species
AUGGAAUCGGGGCGUGGCCUUAAGGGGGCGGGGCUUAAAUGGAGGGGGCGUGGCCUAAGCUUAAAUAGGGGCUGGGCUUUCUAUGGGGUCUCACUUAUGGGUCUGCCCCCCAUUUCCUGCCCCCCCCCCCCCCCCAAUCUCUUUCUGCCCCCCAACUUGUGGGUCCGCAGGUUUCCUGCCCCCCAGCAGCAGCCUCCCCCUGCAGAAGCAAUUGGAGCACGCCAACCAGCAGUCCGGCUUCAGCGACGCCGCUCUGCACAACCCCCAGCUGCUGCCCAGCGCCCCAUUGCCCACCGUGGGGAAGGUAAGGGGGGGGAAUCUAUGGGGCGAGAUAGGGGGGGUGGAAUUUGGGGUCGACUUAUGGGGCUGAGCCCCACAUCUUCCCCCUCUUUUGCCCCACACUUAGGGGGCGCUGCCCUUCCCCCACGCCCGCCCAGCCUCCCCCGGGAGUUUCCAGCCCCACGGAGCCAGCGGGCAGCAACCCCAUGGGGUAAGUGUGGGGCUGAGCCCCAUAGAUGGGUCCCAACACCCCUUUACCCCUCACUUAUGGGUCCCGACCCCCCACUUAUGGGUCCCAAUAUCCCCCUAUCCCCACUUAUGGGCCCCAACCCCACUUAUGGGUCCCCAUCUAUUCCUAUGGGUUCUAUGGCUCCCUAUACCCCACUUAUGUGUCCCAAUCCCCCCCCAUGCCCCCCACUUAUGGGUCAGGCCCCACUUAUGGGUCCCAAUCCCCCCAUUACCCCCCACUUAUGGGUCCCCAUGUCUUCCUAUGGGUCCCACAACCCCCAUACCCCACUUAUGGGUCCCAGCCCCCACUUAUGGGUCCCCAUGUAUUCCUAUGGGUCCCACAACCCCCAGACCCCACUUAUGGGUCCCAAACCCCCCCCCCACCCCACUUAUGGGUCCCAAUCCCCCCCCAUACCCCACUUAUGGGUCCCAGCCCCCACUUAUGGGUCCCCAUGUCUUCCUAUGGGUCCCACAACCCCCAUACCCCACUUAUGGGUCCCAACCCCACUUAUGGGUCCCCAUGUCUUCCUAUGGGUCCCACAACCCCCAUACCCCACUUAUGGGUCCCAACCCCCACUUAUGGGUCCCCAUGUGUUCCUAUGGGUCCCANCCCCCCCCCCACCCGUCACGCUCCGUUCCUGCCCCACCCCCCCCAGGGGCAACGCUUCUACCACAAGUGAUGACGUCACUUCCUGUUCGUCCCGCAAUGAUGACGUCACUUCCGCCCGGAUGACCCUCCCACACGCUCCGUCCCACAUGGAUGACGUCACUUCCUGUCCAGCCGCCAUUGUUAAUAAAGUCACUUCCGGUCCUUUCCCGCACUGAUGACGUCACUUCCUCUCCCGCCGCCAUCUUUAAUAGUCAUUUCCGGUUUUAACCCCCAUACCCCCUCAUUUCCGGUUCGUUACCACCCCCCUCCUCCCCUCCCCCCCAAACAAGAUCCAAGAUGGCCGCCCUAUAGAUCCAAGAUGGCUGCCCUUUGGAUCCAAAAUGGCGGCCCUAUGGAUCCAAGAUGGCUGACAAGAUGGCGGUGCUAUAGAUCCAAGAUGGCUGCCGUAUGGAUCCAAGAUGGCUGACAAGAUGGCGGCCCUAUGGAUCCAAGAUGGCUGACAAGAUGGCGGUGCUAUAGAUCCAAGAUGGCUGACAAGAUGGUGGCUUUAUGGAUCCAAGAUGGCAGCCAUAUGGAUCCAAGAUGGCUGACAAGAUGGCGGCCCUAUGGAUCCAAGAUGGCUGACAAGAUGGCGGUGCUAUAGAUCCAAGAUGGCUGCCGUAUGGAUCCAAGAUGGCUGACAAGAUGGUGGCUUUAUGGAUCCAAGAUGGCGGCUCUAUGAAUCCAAGAUGGCGGCCCUAUGGAUCCAAGAUGGCUGCCCUAUAGAUCCAAGAUGGCGGC